rnacentral:misc_RNA from 1 species
GAAAUGCGAUAAGUAAUGUGAAUUGCAGAAUUCAGUGAAUCAUCGAAUCUUUGAACGCACCUUGCGCUCCUUGGUAUUCCUUGGAGCAUGCCUGUUUGAGUAUCAUGAAAUCUUCAAAGUAAAUCUUUUGUUAACUCAAUUGGUUUCUACUUUGGUAUUGGAGGUCUUUGCAGCUUCACACCUGCUCCUCUUGUUCAUUAGCUGGAUCUCAGUGUUAUGCUUGGUUCCACUCGGCGUGAUAAGUUAUCUAUCGCUGAGGACACUGUAAAAGGUGGCCAAGGUAAAUGCAGAUGAACCGCUUCUAAUAGUCCAUUGACUUGGACAAUACUUUUAUGAUCUGAUCUCAAAUCAGGUAGGACUACCCGCUGAACUUAAGC